rnacentral:rRNA from 1 species
UAAGGAAUAUUGGACAAUGGAGGCAACUCUGAUCCAGCCAUGCCGCGUGAAGGAAUAAGGCCCUAUGGGUUGUAAACUUCUUUUAGACGGGACAAAACCCCUUUACGUGCAAAGGGUUGAUGGUACUGUCAGAAUAAGCAUCGGCUAACUUCGUGCCAGCAGCCGCGGUAAUACGAAGGAUGCAAGCGUUAUCCGGAAUUAUUGGGGUUAAAGGGUGCGUAGGCGGACUAAUAAGUCAGUGGUGAAAGCCUGCAGCUUAACUGCAGAAUUGCCAUUGAUACUGUUAGUCUUGAGUACAGUUGAGGUAGGCGGAAUGUGUCAUGUAGCGGUGAAAUGCUUAGAUAUGACACAGAACACCGAUUGCGAAGGCAGCUUGCUAAGCUGUAACUGACGCUGAGGCACGAAAGCGUGGGGAGCAAACA